rnacentral:rRNA from 1 species
AGUGAACGCUGGCGGUAGGCCUAACACAUGCAAGUCGAACGGCAGCACAGUAAGAGCUUGCCCUUCCGGGUGGCGAGUGGCGGACGGGUGAGGAAUACAUCCGAAUCUACUUUUUCGUGGGGGAUAACGUAGGGAAACUUACGCUAAUACCGCAUACGACCUACGGGUGAAAGCAGUGGAUCUUCGGACCUUGCGCGAUUGAAUGAGCCGAUGUCGGAUUAGCUAGUUGGCGGGGUAAAGGCCCACCCAGGCGACGAUCCGUAGCUGGACUGAGAGGAUGGUCAGCCACACGGGAACUGAGACACGGUCCAGACGCCUACGGGAGGCAGCAGUGGGGAAUAUGGGACAAUGGGCGCAAGCCUGAUCCAGCCAUACCGAGUGGGUGAAGAAGGCCUUCGGGUUGUAAAGCCCUCUUGUUGGGAAAGAAAAGCAGCAGGUUAAUACCCCGCUGUUCUGACGGUACCCAAAGAAUAAGCACCGGCUAACUUCGUG